GUGGGGAAUAUUGGACAAUGGGCGAAAGCCUGAUCCAGCCAUGCCGCGUGUGUGAAGAAGGUCUUCGGAUUGUAAAGCACUUUAAGUUGGGAGGAAGGGCAGUAAGUUAAUACCUUGCUGUUUUGACGUUACCGACAGAAUAAGCACCGGCUAACUUCGUGCCAGCAGCCGCGGUAAUACGAAGGGUGCAAGCGUUAAUCGGCAUUACUGGGCGUAAAGCGCGCGUAGGUGGUUUUGUAAGUUGGAGGUGAAAUCCCCGGGCUCAACCUGGGAACUGCCUACAAAACUGCAUGACUAGAGUACGGUAGAGGGUAGUGGAAUUUCCUGUGUAGCGGUGAAAUGCGUAGAUAUAGGAAGGAACACCAGUGGCGAAGGCGACUACCUGGACUGAUACUGACACUGAGGUGCGAAAGCGUGGGGAGCAAACAGGAUUAGAUACCCGAGUAGUCC
rnacentral:rRNA from 1 species